rnacentral:rRNA from 1 species
UACGGAGGGGGCAAGCGUUGUUCGGAGUCACUGGGCGUAAAGGGCGCGUAGGCGGUGCGUAAAGUCAGGCGUGAAAGCCCCGGGCUUAACCUGGGAAUUGCGCUUGAUACUGACGUGCUAGAGAACGGGAGAGGAUGGCGGAAUUCCCAGUGUAGAGGUGAAAUUCGUAGAUAUCGGGAGGAACACCGGUGGCGAAGGCGGCGACCUGGGUAGAGACUGACGCUGAGGCGCGAAAGCGUGGGGAGCAAACAGG